rnacentral:sRNA from 1 species
AUAGGACAUGUGCACGUCUGCCAUCUUUAUAUCUCCACCUGUGCACACAUUGUAGGUCUGGAAUAACUCUCUGAGGGAACUCAGUUGUUAGGAUUGCUUCUGCAAAGGAGCUUUUCUUGUGUUUCCAGAUCUAUGCUUUCAUAUACACCAUAAGAAUGUAACAGAAUGUAUUAAUGGGUCUUGUACCUAUAAACUAUAUACAACUUUCAGCAACGGAUCUCUUGGCUCUCGCAUCGAUGAAGAACGCAGCGAAAUGCGAUAAGUAAUGUGAAUUGCAGAAUUCAGUGAAUCAUCGAAUCUUUGAACGCACCUUGCGCUCCUUGGUAUUCCGAGGAGCAUGCCUGUUUGAGUGUCAUUAAAUUCUCAACCCCUCCAGCUUUUGCGAGUUGUGAUGGGGCUUGGAUAUGGGGGCUUGCGGGUCUUUACUGAUGUAAAGGUCUGCUCUCCUGAAAUACAUUAGCGGAACCGUUUGCAGUCCCGUCACUAGUGUGAUAAUUAUCUACGCUGUGAUGAUUGCUCUCUGACUAGUUCAGCUGCUAAUCGUCCGUUAUGGACAAUGUUUAAUGAACUUCUUGACCUCAAAUCAGGUAGGACUACCCGCUGAACUUAAGCAUAUCAAUAAGCGGAGGA